ensembl:lncRNA
AAAGGUCCUCUCAUGAUGAUGAGCAUCCUUGUGCUGCACACAACCAAGCCUGUGAAGAAGGUGAAGAGCAGUGGAGACAGAGGACAGACAUUAGAUCCACACUGUGUCCUUUGUAAGCCAUCUGACCCUUACACUUUGCAGCUGGUGAAGGAACAAGACGUAACGUUUGUAGCAUCAUUCUGCUGCUUCAGUCCUUGCGCUGCUCCACAUUGCGUUAUGGAAGGGAGGAGGAAGGUUUAAGAUGGUUAAUUACAAAGGAAGCAGCCUCUGGAGGGAACUGAAGAUAGAGCCAGGAGUGUUUUCGUUUCUCAUGCAAUAUCUGAGCUUCUGGUUUAUCUUGCAUUAAGUUUGGAUCCUAGAUCACGAGCCCGUGGGCCACAAAAGUGACUUUGCUUGCAGUUCUUACUGUGAUACCAACUGAGACAAGUUUGUGAUGCUGCGUGAAGACUGCAGUCCACCACAGAACAAGCAGCAGCCCAGGAGGCAGCAUGUGCAGACCUGCUGUCUCAUAGGGUGCUGUGCUGAGGUUAUGCAUGCCAACCUACUGGCCAAAGUACCAUGAGGCUCUAGCAGAACUGGCCUGAGUAAGGAAGGAAUGUACUGAAUUGGACUAUGGAUUAUGCUCAUCUGUUGCCUCUCUGAUCUUUUGAUGGCUCCUAUGGAUGUCUACAGACUUCAUCAACUCUGCAGGUAACGUACCUCAGUGGAAAAUGGCUGUGCACAUGAAUAUCUGAAACAAAAAUGGGCAUCUCUGUUAUGCAGUCCUCAUGUCAGGCAUCUUGGAGGCCGUAAGCUGAAAUCUGCUGUUGGUACAUCUCAGAGUAAACAAAAUUUGGCAAAAUGCAGUCUUGAUUUCUGGAGCAGGGACACGUGGAAUUCAGACAGUAGUAAUUAGUCUAUUAGUCCACAGACCACUUCACAGACACAAAGGGAUAUUAUCGCUAUUUGCCGUGAAUGACACUCAUCAGACAGUUAUUGUUCACAUGGUUAGUGAUUAUUUCAAGCAUCAGUUCUGGCGAGACUGGAAUUACCCCAAGGAAUACAAAGG